GAUAGAGGAUGCAAGCGUUAUCCGGAAUGAUUGGACGUAAAGCGUCUGUAGAUGGCUUUUUAAGUCUGCCGUCAAAUCCCAGGGCUUAACCCUGGACAGGCGGUGGAAACUACCAAGCUGGAGUACGGUAGGGGCAGAGGGAAUUUCCGGUGGAGCGGUGAAAUGCGUAGAGAUCGGAAAGAACACCAACGGCGAAGGCACUCUGCUGGGCCGACACUGACACUGAGAGACGAAAGCUAGGGGAGCGAAUGGG
rnacentral:rRNA from 1 species